GGAUGGGUGGCCGAGUGGUUUAAGGCUCUGGUCUUGAAAACCAGCGUACGUGAAAGCGUACCGUGGGUUCGAAUCCCACCCCAUCCG
rnacentral:tRNA from 1 species